rnacentral:tRNA from 1 species
CGGGGCAUAGCUCAGCUUGGUUAGAGCGCGUGCCUUGGGAGCACGAGGCCGCCCGUUCAAAUCGGGCUGCCCCGACCA